rnacentral:rRNA from 1 species
GACGAACGCUGGCGGCGUGCUUAACACAUGCAAGUCGAACGAUGAAGAAGAGCUUGCUCUUCGGAUUAGUGGCGAACGGGUGAGUAACACGUGACUAACCUGCCCCUUUCUCUGGGAUAACGCUCCGAAAGGAGUGCUAAUACCGGAUACUCACAUCGAGGCACAUGCCUUGAUGUGGAAAGUUUUUCGGAAAGGGAUGGAGUCGCGGCCUAUCAGCUUGUUGGUGAGGUAACGGCUCACCAAGGCGACGACGGGUAGCCGGCCUGAGAGGGCGACCGGCCACACUGGGACUGAGACACGGCCCAGACUCCUACGGGAGGCAGCAGUGGGGAAUAUUGCACAAUGGGCGAAAGCCUGAUGCAGCGACGCCGCGUGAGGGAUGAAGGUCUUCGGAUUGUAAACCUCUUUCAGUAGGGACGAAGCGAAAGUGACGGUACCUAAAGAAGAAGCACCGGCUAACUACGUGCCAGCAGCAGCCGCCG